GGCCGUCUAGCUCAGUUGGUUAGAGCGUCGUGCUAAUACGCUGAUUAUCAUCUGCUGCUACGCGAAGGUCUUGGGUUCGACCCCCACGAUGGCCA